rnacentral:rRNA from 1 species
GACGAACGCUGGCGGCGUGCAUAACACAUGCAAGUCGAGCGGAGCGGCGAACGGGUGAGUAACGCGUGAGUAACUGCCCCCCUCUCUGGGAUAACAGUUGGAAACGGCUGAUAAUACCGGAUAGUGGGGGAUGACUCGCGUCGUAUCAGCUUGUUGGUGGGGUGGUGGCCUACCAAGGCGACGACGGGGAGCCGGCCUGAGGGGGCGACCGGCCACAUUGGGCUGAGAUACGGCCCAAACUCCGACGGGGGGCAGCGGGGUGGAAUAUGGCACAAUGGGGGAAACCCUGAUGCAGCAACGCCGCGUGCGGGAUGACUGCCUGCGGGUUGUAAACCGCUUUCAGCCAUUACGCGGUAGUGGCAGAAGAAGCACCGGCUAACUCCGUGCCAGCAGCCGCGGUAAUAC